rnacentral:rRNA from 1 species
GAUGAACGCUGGCGGCGUGCCUAAUACAUGCAAGUCGAGCGAACAGGCGAGGAGCUUGCUCCUCUGACGUUAGCGGCGGACGGGUGAGUAACACGUGGAUAACCUACCUAUAAGACUGGGAUAACUUCGGGAAACCGGAGCUAAUACCGGAUAAUAUAUUGAACCGCAUGGUUCAAUAGUGAAAGACGGUUUUGCUGUCACUUAUAGAUGGAUCCGCGCCGCAUUAGCUAGUUGGUAAGGUAACGGCUUACCAAGGCAACGAUGCGUAGCCGACCUGAGAGGGUGAUCAGCCACACUGGAACUGAGACACGGUCCAGACUCCUACGGGAGGCAGCAGUAGGGAAUCUUCCGCAAUGGGCGAAAGCUUGACGGAGCAACGCCGCGUGAGUGAUGAAGGUCUUCGGAUCGUAAAACUCUGUUAUUAGGGAAGAACAAAUGUGUAAGUAACUAUGCACGUCUUGACGGUACCUAAUCAGAAAGCCACGGCUAACUACGUG